AGUGAAUCAUCGAGUCUUUGAACGCACAUUGCGCCCCCUGGUAUUCCGGGGGGCAUGCCUGUCCGAGCGUCAUU
rnacentral:rRNA from 1 species